rnacentral:rRNA from 1 species
GACGAACGCUGGCGGCGUGCCUAAUACAUGCAAGUAGAACGCACAGUUUAUACCGUAGCUUGCUACACCAUAGACUGUGAGUUGCGAACGGGUGAGUAACGCGUAGCUAACCUGCCUGGUAGCGGGGGAUAACUAUUGGAAACGAUAGCUAAUACCGCAUAAUAUUAAUUAUUGCAUGAUAAUUAAUUGAAAGGUGCAAUUGCACCACUACCAGAUGGACCUGCGUUGUAUUAGCUAGUAGGUGAGGUAACGGCUCACCUAGGCGGCGAUACAUAGCCGAGCUGGAGAGGAGGACGGCCCAACUGGGACUGAGAAACGGCCCCAACUCCUACGGGGGGCAGCAGUAGGGGAUCUUCGGAAAUGGGGGAAAGUCUUGACGAGCACCGCCGCGGGAGUGAAGAAGGUUUUCGGGUCGUAAAGCUCUGUUGUAUGGGAAAAACGAGUGGGAGGGUGGAACGUUCACACUGUGACGGUAUCUUACGAGAAAGGGACGGCUAACUACGUG